AAAUCCUCGUGUCACACAUUUCAAAUUAGG
rnacentral:tRNA from 1 species